CUAAACAUGCAGUCGAGCGGCAGCGGGAAGUAGCUUGCUACUUUGCCGGCGAGCGGCGGACGGGUGAGAAAUGUCUGGGAAACUGCCUGAUGGAGGGGGAUAACUACUGGAAACGGUAGCUAAUACCGCAUGACCUCGAAAGAGCAAAGUGGGGGACCUUCGGGCCUCACGCCAUCGGAUGUGCCCAGAUGGGAUUAGCUAGUAGGUGAGGUAAUGGCUCACCUAGGCGACGAUCCCUAGCUGGUCUGAGAGGAUGACCAGCCACACUGGAACUGAGACACGGUCCAGACUCCUACGGGAGGCAGCAGUGGGGAAUAUUGCACAAUGGGCGCAAGCCUGAUGCAGCCAUGCCGCGUGUGUGAAGAAGGCCUUCGGGUUGUAAAGCACUUUCAGCGAGGAGGAAGGCGUUAAGGUUAAUAACCUUAGCGAUUGACGUUACUCGCAGAAGAAGCACCGGCUAACUCCGUGCCAGCAGC
rnacentral:rRNA from 1 species